rnacentral:rRNA from 1 species
AUACGGAGGUUGCGAGCGUUAAUCGGAAUUACUGGGCGUAAAGCGUGCGUAGGCGGUUUGCUAAGUCAGAUGUGAAAGCCCCGGGCUUAACCUGGGAACUGCAUUUGAUACUGGCAGACUAGAGUAUGAUAGAGGGGGGUAGAAUUCCUGGUGUAGCGGUGAAAUGCGUAGAUAUCAGGAGGAAUACCAGUGGCGAAGGCGGCCCCCUGGAUCAAUACUGACGCUGAGGUACGAAAGCGUGGGGAGCGAACAGGAUUAGAAACCCUUGUAGUCC